UCCCGCGGGCGGUGGCCAGGCGUGUGGGGAGGGGCCGCGAGAGCCAAUGGGAGCCGGGGUUUUCAAAGGACAACGGAACUCCAGCCAAUGGCGGUGCGCUUGUAGGGCGGGGGCUGCCUGAGCCCGCCCCCCCGGGCCCGCCCUGUUGGGGAAGGUCACUGGCUACACUGCACCUUGCUCGCUCGCUAAACCCCAGGGGCCGGCAGCUGCCGCCAGACCCCCGGUUCCAGAGGGGUUGGAGGUGCGGGGAAGGGCUCCACGCCUCCCGGGUGCUGUGCUUCUGUGUCACCCGCAGCCUGAGCAUCGCUGCGCGCACGUGGCGUGGCAUAGGGACGUUAUGCAGUCCUUUCGGGGACCCAGCUCAGCGGCCGCGCCCUGGGAGAGCCGCUGCUCAGCCCUGCCCCUGGCUCAUCUCUCUUUUCAGAGGCGCCCAGCUGACUGAGACCCCUGCCUAACCGCGUCUCCGUUCCCGGGAUACCUUUGCCCUGCUGUCCUCCUGCCAGGAGAGCGCUCCCCCAUUCCCCACGCACCUGGCUGCCCGACAUACACAGCUGCUGUCAAUCUCUACCAGGGAGCCCACCUUGACCAUUGCGAUGGCUGCAUCAAGGCCUGCACCAACCCAGGUCCACGUGGCCCUGGUUUUGACCUCAGCAUUCUGUGCUUGGCGAACUCAGUAGACUUACAACCUGGCCUGAACUAACCCUACCUCCACGAUUGACCUCGGACCAAGGUCACCUGCCUAAGCAACCUGUGCCAGGCCCUGACAUUUCACAGCCUCCCACGCCAGUCCCAGAGAAAGUUGAAGGUUGGGAGAGUGGGGAAGCUCUGGUACUGGUGCUUCUGGACCUGCAGGUGCUCCUGGCAUUCCCCGGGCAAGGACCAGACCCAAAUGGAUGUCAGAACACACCUCAUGGGCAGAAUCCUUGCAGCACCUGCAAGGGAGGGAAGUCACAACCCACUCGUGGAUCCUUAUGGAGGACCAGUAGCCCAAGAAGACGUGUGAGCAGCCACCUGCUUGUUCCUUGUGAUUCUGCCGCUGUGCAGGUGCCCAAGGUGCUGCCCAUGACGCAGGCCUUGACCUCUGUUCUGCCUGCCUCCUGGCUGAGCCCCAAACCACAGGCACAGGAAGUUGGGAGGGUGAUACUUGCCCCAGGGCUUCCAUCCCCAGGCUGAGGAAGGCUUCAAGUCCCCAGCCCCACCCUCCACAGCUCUCCAGCCAACUCAGAGAGGAUGGCCAGUGGACAGGAGGAACAUUUGCAUGACAAAUGGGUUCCCUGGAAGACUGCUGUGCCCUGGAGCUAAUGGACUUGGCGCUGGGAGCAGAGAAGCCCUAUGCCCCAGCAGGGUCAUACUGUAGUGAAAAGUAAAAGAAACUGGUGAUAGUUAUCUUAAAAAUGGAUCUGAUUUAACCUGAUAGCUCCAACUGAACAUCAUUUCAACAUUCAGUUGAAUAAAAAUAGAUAAUAA